rnacentral:rRNA from 1 species
UGCUACAAUGGCGUAAACAAAGGGAAGCGAAGCCGCGAGGCGGAGCGGACCCCAAAAAUAAACGUCCCAGUUCGGACUGUAGUCUGCAACCCGACUACACGAAGCUGGAAUCGCUAGUAAUCGCGGAUCAGCAUGCCGCGGUGAAUACGUUCCCGGGCCUUGUACACACCGCCCGUCACACCAUGAGAGUCGGGAACACCCGAAGUCCGUAGUCUAACCGCAAGGGGGGCGCGGCCGAAGGUGGGUCCGGUAAUUGGGGUGAAGUCGUAACAAGGUAAC